UGUUCCUUUUCUUGCUUCUACUCACCCCCAUGACCAUUAGUUUAUACUUAGUCCAAGUUGUACUUUAUUUUGCUGUGGAAGAAGAAUAAGACCAAGGUUUUAAUUAGAGCCUCGUUUGUGCAAGUGAAAAAUAGGAUCACAUUGACCUAUUCUUUUUUCAAGCUCUUUUAAUUGUCUUGGGAAGAAAAUGAACCCAGAAAUGAAUGGGGUUGAGGCUGAGAAGAGGCAAGAGAAUGGACA
rnacentral:pre_miRNA from 1 species